GCGGGUGUGGUGAAGCGGUAUCAUAGGUGCCUUCCAAGCACUUGGCACGGGUUCGACUCCCGUCACCCGCUCCA
rnacentral:tRNA from 1 species